rnacentral:tRNA from 1 species
UGGGGAGUGGUGUAAUCGGCAGCACGCGAGACUUUGGCUCUCGAAGACGGGGUUCAAGUCCCUGCUCCCCAG